UAUCUCUGUAGAGUCUGCAUAUCAAUAAGCGGAGGAAAAGAAACUAACUAGGAUUCCCUUAGUAACGGCGAGUGAAGCGGGAAGAGCUCAAAUUUGAAAUCUUCAAGGUUCUACCUUGACGAAUUGUAGUUUAAAGAAGUGUUUUCUGUUAGGAGUGAGUAGCAAAAGUUCCUUGGAAUAGGGACAUCAUAGAGGGUGAGAAUCCCGUAUUUGACGUUAUUCAUUCUAGCUGUGUGAUACACUUUCAAAGAGUCGGAUUGUUUGGGAAUGCAGUCCAAAAUGGGUGGUAAAUUUCAUCUAAAGCUAAAUACUGGCGAGAGACCGAUAGCGAACAAGUACCGUGAGGGAAAGAUGAAAAGAACUUUGAAAAGAGAGUUAAACAGUACGUGAAAUUGUCAAAAGGGAAGCGUUUGACACCAGCGUUGUUUUCUCGAAAAUCAAUUAAAAAUGGCAUGAUUUUGUGUUGUAUUGACCUUAAUCAAGCUUUCUUCACUCUUUUCAUUGUCUUUUUUACUGCACUUUUCGUUUAACAAGUCAACAUCAGUUUCUUUUGAUGUAAAAGGUCAUUGGAAGGUGGCUUUCUUUUCGGAGAAAGUGUUUAUAGCCUUUGGCCUCUGCAAUCGGAGAGAGUUGAGGUCUGCAGCGUAGAUCCUUCGGGGUUAGAUACAUUUGUGCUAAGUUAUAGCCUUUCAUAGACAACUUGUUGACUAUGAUCAGUCAUGUAGCUUACUCGCUUAUGCUAUUUUACCUACGCUUAGGAUGUUGAUAGUCACAGCGUGUAC
rnacentral:rRNA from 1 species